UUGUAAUCUUCAUCAUCCUCAUCAUCAUCUUCAUCUUUAUCAUUUUUUUGGACAUGAUUUUGACACUUUGAAGCCUUUGAAACUUCAUGCCCUAAGGCUAAGGGUUGAUAAAAAUGUUAAUACAUCAUUUUCAUUUUGAGAAUUCAAAGUUACCUUGAUUUUUUGCUUCUCUCUCUCUCUUACCACCCUUAUCAUCAUUAAGUCUCUUUCUUUUUGGUGUAGCAAGAGAGGAAACAAGUGAAAAAUUCUAAACUUAUCAAAUAGAAUUUUUUGUAUUUUCUAUUCUCUUUCUGGAUUAUAAACAACAAACUUCUUCGCUCUUUGUGUUCAUCAUCUUCAUCUUACAACAACAAUUUUUUCUUCUUCAUCUCUCUAGUCAAUCACAUCAACUUUAAAUAAUCUUUUUUAUUAGUCAAAAUGGAAAUUUAAUUGUUGUUACUAAGCCAUCUUUUUUUUCAUCUCUAAAGUCAACUACAUUAUCUCUCUAUCUCCUAAAUCAUUGGAUUCAACUCUUUCUUAUCUCUGUUUCGGAUUUUCUUAUAUUUGUGUCUUAUCUUAUUCUCAUCUUAAAGUUUGAUAUCUUUCUUUUUGAUUAAUCUGUAUUUCAAAUCCCUAAGAGACCAGAGAGUUAACUUUAAAUCCGUUAAAAUCAUGUUUAUAGCCAGCCAACAUAGACCUAGACAUUCAACACACUGGUACCUUACAACGUGAUCAUCACUCUCAUCAUCAACUUCACCACCACCAACAACAGCAACUACAAAAUCAACACAAUACCUCCUCGUGUAAACCACCAAUUUGGACAGUGGCUUAUUCAUCAGCGACACCCUUAGAUCCCCACCAUCACCAUGGUGGGUCACUUUACUUUGAUCCAGCAACAUUAAAUAGGCAACAUCUCAGAAAUCAUCAUCACAACAAUGUAAACCUUAUGAUGUUCAAUCCUGGAGAUAUUAAAAGUGAUCAAAUCCAUCAUGUUGAUGUCGAUUCUA